ACUCAAAUGAAUUGACGGGGGCCCGCACAAGCGGUGGAGCAUGUGGUUUAAUUCGACGCAACGCGAAGAACCUUACCAAGGCUUGACAUCCUCAGAAUCCUAAGGAAACUUAGGAGUGCCCUUCGGGGAGCUGAGAGACAGGUGGUGCAUGGUUGUCGUCAGCUCGUGUCGUGAGAUGUUGGGUUAAGUCCCGCAACGAGCGCAACCCCUGUGUUUAGUUGCUAACGCGUGAUGGCGAGCACUCUAGACAGACUGCCGGUGAUAAACCGGAGGAAGGUGGGGAUGACGUCAAAUCAUCAUGCCCCUUAUGUCUUGGGCUACACACGUGCUACAAUGGCCGGUACAGACGGAAGCGAAGCCGCGAGGUGAAGCAAAUCCGAGAAAGCCGGUCUCAGUUCGGAUUGCAGGCUGCAACUCGCCUGCAUGAAGUCGGAAUCGCUAGUAAUCGCAGGUCAGCAUACUGCGGUGAAUACGUUCCCGGGCCUUGUACACACCGCCCGU
rnacentral:rRNA from 1 species